UACGUAGGGGGCAAGCGUUGUCCGGAAUCAUUGGGCGUAAAGAGCGUGUAGGCGGCCAGAUAAGUCCGCUGUGAAAUCUCGAGGCUCAACUUCGAGCUGUCGGUGGAAACUGUCUGGCUAGAGUCCGGAAGAGGAGAGUGGAAUUCCUGGUGUAGCGGUGAAAUGCGCAGAUAUCAGGAGGAACACCGGUGGCGAAGGCGGGUCUCUGGGCAGUAACUGACGCUGAGGAGCGAAAGCGUGGGGAGCGAACAGG
rnacentral:rRNA from 1 species